UACGUAGGGUGCAAGCGUUAAUCGGAAUUACUGGGCGUAAAGCGUGCGCAGGCGGUUCUAUAAGCCCGAUGUGAAAUCCCCGGGCUCAACCUGGGAACUGCAUUUGUGACUGUAGAGCUGGAGUGCGGCAGAGGGGGAUGGAAUUCCGCGUGUAGCAGUGAAAUGCGUAGAUAUGCGGAGGAACACCGAUGGCGAAGGCAAUCCCCUGGGCCUGCACUGACGCUCAUGCACGAAAGCGUGGGGAGCAAACAGG
rnacentral:rRNA from 1 species